rnacentral:snRNA from 1 species
GGCUUUGCGCAGUGGCAGUAUAGUAGCCAAUGAGGUUUAUCCGAGGCGCAAUUAUUGCUAAUUGAAAACUAAAGAAGUGGCUUUGAAGGGAUCAAAAUAAUCUACAACAGCUUAAAUACCUGUCCAAGCAAUGAAAAACACUCUUUAAAGG